rnacentral:rRNA from 1 species
GUGUCAGCAGCCGCGGUAAUACGAAGGGGGCUAGCGUUGUUCGGAAUUACUGGGCGUAAAGGGCGCGUAGGCGGUACUUCAAGUCAGGCGUGAAAGCCCCGGGCUCAACCUGGGAACCGCGCUUGAGACUGGAGAACUAGAGUUCGGGAGAGGAUGGUGGAAUUCCCAGUGUAGAGGUGAAAUUCGUAGAUAUUGGGAAGAACACCGAUGGCGAAGGCAGCCAUCUGGACCGACACUGACGCUGAGGCGCGAAAGCGUGGGGAGCAAACAGGAUUAGAAACCCCCGUAGUCC